CAUUUCUCCAUCCUAGGAUACAAUUCCAUUUGUGAAACUACUCCUUUUCUAUUUCUCAUUUGUCACUAGCUUUAAUGUUUCAGCUGAACUAAUACCUGAUUAACUUUAAUCAUCCAUUUAAUGCUUCUCAGUCUAUUCUUUGUCAUCAGCUUUUGACUGUGUUUUGUUGGCUCACGUUCUUUCCCACUGCAAAUUCCUACACUUCCCAGAAUGCCUUGAGACAGCCCUGAGAGAACUUCCCUGAACUAU